rnacentral:rRNA from 1 species
UAGCAACUAGCGAGUGAAGCGGAGAAAAGCUCAAAUUUAAAAUCUGAUAGUCUUUGGCUGUCCGAGUUGUAGUCUGGAGAAGCGUUUUCCGUGCUGGACCGUGUACAAGUCUCCUGGAACGGAGCGUCAUAGAGGGUGAGAAUCCCGUCUUUGACACGGACUACCAGUGCUUUUGUGAUGCGCUCUCAAAGAGUCGAGUUGUUUGGGAAUGCAGCUCAAAAUGGGUGGUAAACUCCAUCUAAAGCUAAAUAUUGGCGAGAGACCGAUAGCGAACAAGUACCGUGAGGGAAAGAUGAAAAGCACUUUGGAAAGAGAGUUAAACAGUACGUGAAAUUGCUGAAAGGGAAACGCUUGAAGUCAGUCGCGUUUGCUAGGACUCAGCCUUGCCUCGGCUAAGGUGCAUUUCCUAGUAGACGGGCCAGCAUCACUUUUGGCUGCGGGAAAAAGGUCAGAGGAAUGUGGCACCUCCGGGUGUGUUAUAGCCUCUGGCUGUAUACCGUGGCUGGGAGUGAGGAACUCAGCGCGCCUUCAUGGCGGGGCUUCGGCCACCUUCGUGCUUAGGAUGCUGGCGUAAUGGCUUUAAACGACCCGUCUUGAAACACGGACCAAGGAGUCUAACAUGCCUGCGAGUGUUUGGGUGGAAAACCCGAGCGCGUAAUGAAAGUGAAAGUUGGGACCUCUGUCGUGGAGGGCACCGACGCCCGGACCAGACCUUCUGUGACGGAUCCGCGGUAGAGCAUGUAUGUUGGGACCCGAAAGAUGGUGAACUAUGCCUGAAUAGGGUGAAGCCAGAGGAAACUCUGGUGGAGGCUCGUAGCGAUUCUGACGUGCAAAUCGAUCGUCAAAUUUGGGUAUAGGGGCGAAAGACUAAUCGAACCAUCUAGUAGCUGGUC